AGUUAUCAGCUGCUUUCUGCAGAGCUGGCAUCGUUAUUGGUUUCUCUUACAGUCCAAAUCAAUAACUAAUAAUUGACUUUUCUAAUUUUAACUUUGAGGAGCAAAUGUAUGAGCGGGUGUUUGUCUCUGUGAUGGAUCGCCUCCCAUUUAUGAUCAAACAGAAAAUGCAAACACACAUCCUCCCCAUUUGCAGCAGAAAUCACCUCACUGGCUGAACCUCACCUUCAGCAGCAACCAGUUUCUCUCUGGCUCCUCCCACCACUGCUGAGCUCAGCCAAUGAGAAGGCUCGUCUCUAACAGCAGCUUGAUGAUGAUGAUGAAGGUCUGUUAGUCUUCCUUCUGCUGCAGUGGAUCAUCUCUGUAGAUCUGCUGUCUGUCCUGAACUCCUGGAACAUGUUGCUGUACCUCCUGCUCUUCUCUCUCUACAUCGCCAUGGGCUCCAUGAACACCGUCACACAGGAGCAGAGGGAACACGUCGCUUCAGAGGGAAGCCCCACCAGUUUGAGCUGCGGAUAUACUGGUUCUAUCUAUAAUGUCCAGUGGUACCGACAGCAGCACGGAUCCAGACCAGAGUUCCUGCUCUACAUCACAGAGUCGGGAUCGAUCCAUCCAACUCGCUCCGAUUUCUCAGCUCACAUCGAUAAAACUCAGAAACGAGGAACUCUGCUGAUCUCCUCUGCUGCAGUGACAGACUCUGCUGUGUACUACUGCGCUGUGGCGCCCACAGUGACAGGAAACACCAGAACCCUGUACAAAAACCUGCAGUACUCCACAGCAGCCACUAGAGGGCCUCACUCCCUGUUAAACCACAGACAGCCAACAUUUAAACCAUGAGGCUGUUUGUGAACAAGCAGCAGAUCACUUUUUAAAUGAUGACGAAGGCCAUAUGCUGAGCUGAGGAUGCUGCCUGGACCCCAUGAAGAGAUGCAGAGACUGUAGAUCUUUGGGAAACUCUGGACUGGCUUUGUUUCCUCCAGAUUGUGCUCCGGUCUGUAAAAUGGGCUUGUGUUUAAUAAAAAUGUUCUUUUUAUUCAUCUUAGCCUUCCUGUAGGUUUUUCACUUCCACAUCUCACAGAGGGAUGUUACAGACAAAUCCAUAUCCACUCUUUGUAAGAAUCUAGUUGACCUAAAAUUAAACAAAUUA